rnacentral:rRNA from 1 species
GAUGAACGCUGGCGGCGUGCUUAACACAUGCAAGUCGAACGGAAAGGCCGAAGCUUGCUUCGGUACUCGAGUGGCGAACGGGUGAGUAACACGUGGGUGAUCUGCCCUGUACUUCGGGAUAAGCUUGGGAAACUGGGUCUAAUACCGGAUAUGACGAUCUCUUGGAUGGGGUUGUGGAAAGCUUUUGCGGUAUGGGAUGAGCUCGCGGCCUAUCAGCUUGUUGGUGGGGUAAUGGCCUACCAAGGCGUCGACGGGUAGCCGGCCUGAGAGGGUGUACGGCCACAUUGGGACUGAGAUACGGCCCAGACUCCUACGGGAGGCAGCAGUGGGGAAUAUUGCACAAUGGGCGCAAGCCUGAUGCAGCGACGCCGCGUGGGGGAUGACGGCCCUCGGGCUGUAAACUCCUUUCGCAAUCGACGAAGCCUUUUGGUGACGGUAGGUUGAGAAGAAGCACCGGCUAACUACGUG